rnacentral:rRNA from 1 species
UACAGAGGGUGCGAGUGUUGUUCGGAAUUAUUGGGCGUAAAGGGCUCGUAGGCGGUUUGUCGCGUCGGGAGUGAAAACUCAGGGCUUAACCCUGAGCCUGCUUCCGAUACGGGCAGACUAGAGUGUGGUAGGGGAGACUGGAAUUCCUGGUGUAGCGGUGAAAUGCGCAGAUAUCAGGAGGAACACCGGUGGCGAAGGCGGGUCUCUGGGCCAUAACUGACGCUGAGGAGCGAAAGCGUGGGGAGCGAACAGG